CCUACGGGCGGCAACAGUAGGGAAUCUUUCACAAUGGGCGAAAGCCUGAUGGAGCAACGCCGCGUGCAGGAUGAAGGCCUUCGGGUUGUAAACUGCUUUUAUAAGCGAGAAAUAUGAUGGUAACUUAUGAAUAAGGAUCGGCUAACUACGUGCCAGCAGCCGCGGUCAUACGUAGGAUCCGAGCAUUAUCCGGAGUGACUGGGUGUAAAGAGUUGCGUAGGUGGCAUAAUAAGUAGCUAGUGAAAUCUGGUGGCUCAACCAUUCAGACUAUUAGCUAAACUGUUAAGCUCGAGACCGUUAGGGGUAACUGGAAUUUCUAGUGUAGGAGUGAAAUCCGUAGAUAUUAGAAGGAACACCAAUAGCGUAGGCAGGUUGCUGGGACGGUUCUGACACUAAGGCACGAAAGCGUAGGGAGCAAACGGGAUUAGAUACCCCUGUAGUC
rnacentral:rRNA from 1 species